rnacentral:snRNA from 1 species
UUACUUACCCGGACUGGGUCGACGGGCGAUCAAGAAGGCCCGUGGUCUGGGUCAAUGGCCCACAUUGCACUUGGGUGCGUUGGCCCAUCAUCUCCCCAAGUGGAGAAUGAACGUCAUAAUUUGUGAUAGAGGGCGCGGCCCCUGCCAAUCCUUU